UUUGGGAUAUACUUAUACUAGAAAAGGUAUUUGUUGUUCAUCUGAAAUUCACAUUCAACUGGGUGUUCUGUAUUUUUAUCUGCUAAAUAUGGAACCCUGCCUUCAAAGACAGAGGAGAGGAAUCCAAGUCCCUGGCCCUUCUUUUUCCAGAACCCAGGAUCCCAGGCACCCAGCCCUCCCUCCUCAGGACCUGAGAGUCCAGGUUCCGGUUCCCCUCUUGUUCUCCCCUAAAAUCCAUAUUGGGGGCACCAAGCCCCUAUUCCCUCAGAGCCCAGGAGUCCAGGCUCCCAGCCCCUUUCUCUCCAGCAUCCAAGCGACCAGGUCAGGUCUGGGUCCAGUUGCCCAAUGUGGGUUUCAUAAGGCGGGUGAUGCCAUCCAUGGCCCUGGAGGAACCAGUCAGGCAGAGCGGACAAGUGAGGUUGCCCCCUCUUCCCAUCCUAUUCCUGCUGCUUCCUCGAGGGAACAGCCCAGGGGGCUGGGAGCAGAACAGGAGGGACUCAGUGGAGUUCAGGGUGGGACACGGUGUCUGGGUUUGGGUGUGGCAUGUGCCUCUCUUUCUGGGUGUUGUGUGUCUUUGGGGGUUGUGACGAUGUCUCAGUGUGCUCUGGGGCGUGACACAUGAGGGGGUCUUUUCUAUUUGUGUGUCUAUAUUGUCAUUCUAUGAUUCUACCCACUGUCCAUCUUGUUCAGGUGUGGUCAGUUGUCAUGGUUCUCCAAUCCUGACUGGAUGAAGGCAGGAGUUCUUUAUUGAAUGGAUUGUGUGAUGGAUUCUAGAGCCAGAAAACCCAAGUUCAAAUUCUGACAGCCUCUUCCUGCCUUCAGCAAAUCACUAAGCUUCCCGGGACCUCCAUUUGUCCAUCUGCAAAAUGAGCUGUUGCAAAUGAAGUGGUUGAGAGGACUGGACGAGUUAACUCGUGCAAAGUGCUUAGAAUUGUGCCUCGCACACAGGAAGCAUUUUGUGUUUAUGCUGGUGAUGAUGGUGAGGUGCUGUUCUAGUCUCUGGAGAUACUGGAGUCACGGAGUAGGAAAUGAAACCACGUCUGCAUCUGCUCGUGGGCCUGGUAGGGACUGAGUGAGUGGCCUCUCGGUGGCUGGAUGGGCGUGUAACUGCAUACCUGGGGUGUCUGUUUUGCAUGUGAAAUAGAAUAUUUCUGUGUUGUCAGUAAGGGUGAUUGAUUGUGUGCUUAUGUUUAUGUUUGUGUUUGUAGGUGACUCUGCGUGGUGCCUGUGAUUCUCUGACUGUGUGGGUGCAAAUGAAGGUCACACUGAGCAGGCGGGCCUGACUUGAAGGACGCUAGCUGUGAUAAGCCCUCCUUGACGUCAAUCACCAUCCUCCAGCCAGUAGACUCUCCGCCUUCUACCUCCCUGGGCCACUCAAGGCACGUUCCGCGGCAGGCGGGGCCCACAGACUAAAUCGGACAGCGAUAGGCUCUGGGAGACGCCAGUCUCCGCGAGUCUCUGCCAGUCUGCCAAUAGGACGGGCAGCUGCGGGGUGGGAUUCCCACGGCGCACCGCAGAGGCUGGAACUGCUCGCGAGGGAAACAGGUUCGGCGUGUCCAGUCGGAACAAAACCAAACCGACGGCGAGGUAGGGCCAGGCCCCCGCCCUGCGUCGGCCACAGCAGCAGUAGAAGGCAAUGAUGGAGUGCAGCUCUGGCUGUCUACGGAGACUGGUUUGUGUGCCCCCUCCCCCGCCC